CGGGGUUUUCGCUCGUCGGCUUAGGGAGCGCUUACCGUCCCGGAAAGCUCAGGUUGCCAGAAUGAGCUCAAGUUUGAAAAUUGCUCAGUAGGACCAGGCAUAGUGUGGGCCUCUUCUCUGGUGGUUUCACUUGCCAAUCGCUACUAUUUUGAUAACUGUCAUGAGCACAGAAUCAUGCAAUAGCAGCUGUAGAUUAAGAAGACUAAACAUAUGUGAAUUGAGAUCAGUGUUGUGAUAAAUGAAACAAAAUAUUAAUUUGACAUACUUCAGAUAUAUUUAAUUUUUCUGCUGGAUGAUUACUAUAGAUGUUAACUGAUUCAUGUAAAUCCAAGGUUUACAGUUUAUAGGAGCCUUAUAAAAUAAAUGCUAUUGGAUAAUGAUCAAGUCUAUAGGGAUGUCUUACUACCUUCAGAAAAUCUUCCUUAAUUGAUUUCACUCCUGAAUAAGUUGCUCCAUUUUGGCUACCAUUCCUUUACACACCUUUACCAUGUAUAGUUACUGACAGAAUAGUACCCUUCUUUGCUAUGUGAAUAACUCUUCUUUGAGUGUUGUGGUUUCAUCAAGAGAUUAGUUAUCAGACCCAUUAGGGACCAAAGCAUCAGAGGAUAGGAUCUCAGUUAAGGCUAGCAUUGUGCAGUCAGAUAUUUCUAUCAGUCAUUUUGCAAAGCAAAUUGUGAGUGAACUGAACAGAUGGGCUUCUUUAGAGAGACCCUUAAAAAAGUCCCCAUGUGAGGCCUGAGCCCUUGAGUAUUGCUGUGUAGUGAUUUCUUCUUCUCUUGGUAGUAGACAGACUAAUAGACUGUGAUCACUAUUUUUAAUCAAAGAACAAAGCCCCUACUCUUUUUUUUUUUGGUAGACAGGCUGCUAUAUAUCUACAUUGGGAAGGAAAACAAGAAAUAUCUGCAUAUAACUUAAGGAAUGCUUGUUUAAUGCCUAUUAAUUUAGAACACCUGCCUGCCAGCACUUUUUAGUAGGUAUGUUUGUAGAGAGAUACUGGGAAGAAACUUGUACUUUACUGUUCCAUAUAAGGCAAAAACAAAUGUGGGACUGAAAGUUAAUAGAGUUUUUAAUUUCUGCCCAUAGACAAGUAACACCUUUUUCAGGACUCUGCCUGCUUGCUGGGAAACCUUCCUUCAACUCAGUCCCUAUAGAAACUCACUUUUCUGUAGAGAUGAAACCCCUUUCCAUUAUCUCUUUUAAUUCCUAAUUGAGCAGUAUGACCUUUGGAUGAUAAAAUAUUCCUUCCUUUAGACAUAAUUCUGGAAGCAAUAUGAAUAAUAUUGAGAUAUUAUUUGGCAUUGUAUUUUAUAGAAAAUAAAAAGCAUGUGAGGUCCUUUUAUGUGUCUGUCUUCUGGCAUCUUGAAAUUUUCUUCCCUAUAUGAUAAUAAAGAAUUAAAGUAUAGUCUAUGCUGAGAUUAGAGGCAUCCCUGAUUUUUGAGAACCCUAUGACAGGACCCAAAAGUGACAUCGAUGAGGCCCACAGCCCCAGAGUAGUGUUGGAUCACUAGCUCCUCUGUGAGGGCCAAGAGGUUUAUAUAGCUACAGGAGGGAGGGUGGACCCUGUAAGCUUGACUGCUUUUAUGCAUUUAUACAAAGUGAAAUAAUAAACUCCUUUUGAAAAAUUUAGUGUGUCGCAUGUGUAUUAAAGAGUACUAACAAAGCUGUGGUGUGUGUGAAAAAUCCCAGGGCAGAACUGUGGUCACUUGGUCAGCCCCUCUA